rnacentral:hammerhead_ribozyme from 1 species
GUCCAGCUGACGAGUCCCAAAUAGGAUGAAACGCGCUUCCUGGAU